AGCAGCCGCGGUAAUUCCAGCUCCAAUAGCGUAUAUUAAAGUUGUUGCAGUUAAAAAGCUCGUAGUUGAAUUUCGGGAUCAAUAUAUUGGUCAUGCUUAGGUAUGUACUGGUAUUAUUGAUUUCUCCCUUCUGAAGAACCAUGAUGUCAUUAAUUUGAUGUCGUGGGGAAUCAGGACUGUUACUUUGAAAAAAUUAGAGUGUUUAAAGCAGGCUUUCGCUUGAAUACAUUAGCAUGGAAUAAUGAAAUAGGACGUUUGAUUCUAUUUUGUUGGUUUCUAGGAUCGACGUAAUGAUUAAUAGGGAUAGUUGGGGGCAUUAGUAUUCAAUUGUCAGAGGUGAAAUUCUUGGAUUUAUUGAAGACUAACUACUGCGAAAGCAUUUGCCAAGGAUGUUUUCAUUAAUCAAGAACGAAAGUUAGGGGAUCGAAGACGAUCAGAUACCGUCGUAGUCUUAACCAUAAACUAUGCCGACUAGGGAUCGGAUGAUGUUAAUUUUUUAAUGACUCAUUCGGCGCCUUAC
rnacentral:misc_RNA from 1 species